AAUGGGGCCACGAUGAGGGGCGGAUGAAACUAAAACCGGCGCAGCUACGCGCCAAGGGAAUAACAAAUAGACACGAGCCCACAUCGGGUUCGUUGGCGUGGAGUGCUGUUGCACACCACACGGAUCAAAAUGACUCUCGGCAAUGGAUAUCUCGGCUCUCGCAUCGAUGAAGAGCGCAGCGAAAUGCGAUACGUGGUGCGAAUUGCAGAAUCCCGCGAACCAUCGAGAAUUUGAACGCAAGUUGCGCCUGAGGCCAGCCGGCCAAGGGCACGUCCGCCUGGGCGUCAAGCGUUACAUCGCUCCGUGCCAGCUUCAUCCCACCCAACAGGUGUGCAUGCGGGAGGCUCGGAUGUGUAGAGUGGCUCAUCGUGCCUGCGGGCGCGGCGGGCUUAAGAGCGGGUGAUCGUCUCGUUGGCAACGAACAACAAGGGGUGGAUGAAAAUUGUGCCUGUGUUGUAUCGUGCUGGCGUGACAGGAGAUUAUACCUAGCGGAAGAUCCCAGCCCAAGCGUCAAUCCACGGACGACGGCUUGGAAUGCGACCCCAGGAUGGGCGAGACCACCCGCUGAGUUUAAGCAUAUCAAUAAGCGGAGGAGAAGAAACUUACGAGGAUUCCCCUAGUAACGGCGAGCGAACCGGGGAAUUCUAAAGACGUGC
rnacentral:rRNA from 1 species